GAUGAACGCUAGCUACAGGCUCAACACAUGCAAGUCGAGGGGCAGCAUGAACUUAGCUUGCUAAGUUUGAUGGCGACCGGCGCACGGGUGAGUAACACGUAUCCAACCUGCCGAUGACUCGGGGAUAGCCUUUCGAAAGAAAGAUUAAUACCCGAUGGCAUAGUUCUUCCGCAUGGUAGAACUAUUAAAGAAUUUCGGUCAUCGAUGGGGAUGCGUUCCAUUAGGUUGUUGGCGGGGUAACGGCCCACCAAGCCUUCGAUGGAUAGGGGUUCUGAGAGGAAGGUCCCCCACAUUGGAACUGAGACACGGUCCAAACUCCUACGGGAGGCAGCAGUGAGGAAUAUCGGUCAAUGGACGAGAGUCUGAACCAGCCAAGUAGCGUGAAGGAUGACUGCCCUAUGGGUUGUAAACUUCUUUUAUACGGGAAUAAAGUGAGGCACGUGUGCCUUUUUGUAUGUACCGUAUGAAUAAGGAUCGGCUAACUCCGUG
rnacentral:rRNA from 1 species